AACGCUAGCUACAGGCUUAACACAUGCAAGUCGAGGGGCAGCGGGAAGUCAGCUUGCUGACUUUGCCGGCGACCGGCGCACGGGUGAGUAACGCGUAUCCAACCUUCCGUUUACUCAGGGAUAGCCUUUCGAAAGAAAGAUUAAUACCUGAUAGUAUGGUAAGAUUGCAUGAUAAUACCAUUAAAGAUUCAUUGGUAAACGAUGGGGAUGCGUUCCAUUAGGUAGUAGGCGGGGUAACGGCCCACCUAGCCGACGAUGGAUAGGGGUUCUGAGAGGAAGGUCCCCCACAUUGGAACUGAGACACGGUCCAACUCCUACGGGAGGCAGCAGUGAGGAAUAUUGGUCAAUGGGCGAGAGCCUGAACCAGCCAAGUAGCGUGAAGGAUGAAGGUUCUAUGGAUUGUAAACUUCUUUUAUAAGGGAAUAAAGUGCUUUACGUGUAGAGUUUUGUAUGUACCUUAUGAAUAGGCAUCGGCUAACUCCGUGCCAGCAGCCGCGGUAAUACGGAGGAUGCGAGCGUUAUCCGGAUUUAUUGGGUUUAAAGGGAGCGUAGACGGGAUGUUAAGUCAGCUGUGAAAGUUUGGGGCUCAACCUUAAAAUUGCAGUUGAAACUGGCGUUCUUGAGUGCGGUAGAGGCAGGCGGAAUUCGUGGUGUAGCGGUGAAAUGCUUAGAUAUCACGAAGAACUCCGAUUG
rnacentral:rRNA from 1 species